UGUCACAUAAAAAAUCGACUCACUCACAUAUUACUAAAAUGAGAACAAUGCAGAGAAGAUUAACAUGGCCCCUGGGCAAGGAUGGCAUGCAGAUUUGUGAACUGUUUCAUAUUUUC
rnacentral:snRNA from 3 species